UACGGAGGGUGCAAGCGUUAAUCGGAAUUACUGGGCGUAAAGCGUGCGCAGGCGGUUUGUUAAGUCUGUUGUGAAAUCCCCGAGCUCAACUUGGGAAUUGCAAUGGAUACUGGCAGGCUGGAGUAUGGUAGAGGAAGGUGGAAUUCCCGGUGUAGCAGUGAAAUGCGUAGAGAUCGGGAGGAACACCAGUGGCGAAGGCGGCCUUCUGGACCAAUACUGACGUUCAUGCACGAAAGCGUGGGGAGCAAACAGG
rnacentral:rRNA from 1 species